rnacentral:rRNA from 1 species
AUGGCCGCACGCUCCUCCGUGGCCCAAUCGUCGCCGCCGCCGGGGAUCCUCGAGCACCAUCAUCCUGGCACGCAGUCCAUGGCCGCCUCCCCAUGCAGUCCCUUUCUUGCUGCCAGCGGAAAUCCUGUCACUCCCUUCCUCUUCUCCUCCUCUUUCUCCAGUGAUCUUUGCUGGAUCCUGCUGCCGUCAACACCAGGCAUCGGAACCCCGGCCCUGCACUCCAUCACCGCGCCCUGUCUUCUUCUUGCUACAGCUGCUCCACAUCACACCUAUUUGCCCAGCAAAAUGCUGCACUUUCGGUGCAAAACCGUCAAAGAUGAACUCAACAAUCUCCGAGGUGAUGGCACAACCAAAAAGUACGAGGAGUGGGACCGUGUGUACCGCUAUGACUACUACAACGACCUCGGUGAGCUGGACAAGGGCUAUCCGCGCCCGGUUCUCGGCGGCACCCAAGAACUCCCCUAUCCCCGUCUUGGCAGAACUGGCCAACCCCCAACAAAAACAGACCCUAGAUUGGAGAGCAGAAUUCCUCAGUACAAGAUAUAG